GGAGGGGUGGCCGAGCGGCCGAAGGCGGCGGUCUUGAAAACCGCUGAGCGAAAGCUCCGGGGGUUCGAAUCCCUCCCCCUCCGCCA
rnacentral:tRNA from 1 species